rnacentral:rRNA from 1 species
AAUGAACGCUGGCGGCAGGCCUAACACAUGCAAGUCGAACGGUAGCACAGAGAGCUUGCUCUUGGGUGACGAGUGGCGGACGGGUGAGUAAUGUCUGGGAAACUGCCCGAUGGAGGGGGAUAACUACUGGAAACGGUAGCUAAUACCGCAUAACGUCUUCGGACCAAAGUGGGGGACCUUCGGGCCUCACACCAUCGGAUGUGCCCAGAUGGGAUUAGCUAGUAGGUGGGGUAAUGGCUCACCUAGGCGACGAUCCCUAGCUGGUCUGAGAGGAUGACCAGCCACACUGGAACUGAGACACGGUCCAGACUCCUACGGGAGGCAGCAGUGGGGAAUAUUGCACAAUGGGCGCAAGCCUGAUGCAGCCAUGCCGCGUGUAUGAAGAAGGCCUUCGGGUUGUAAAGUACUUUCGGCGGGGAGGAAGGCGGUGAAGUUAAUAACUUCACCGAUUGACGUUACCCGCAGAAGAAGCACCGGCUAACUCCGUGCCAGCCGCCGCCGUAA